UCUGGACAGGAGCCGAACGGUCAUCUUGACUAGUCUUCUCCAUUUUCCGUGCCUUGACCAGAUCUACUCCAAGUUUCCGUCAAAGACUUUAUUUAGUCAAGUCUUUGUUUCAAUUUUCAAUGUCUUGUUUUUAGCACAUUCUUCUUUGGAUUUCUAUAACUUGUAAUCCUAUAAAUAAGGCUUAUGAGCCACGAAAUAAUACAUAUUGUUUUCCCCCUUUUUAUGAGUUUAUCUCUUUGUUCUUUGUUUAGAACACCUCUUAGUUUCUUGGUGAGGUUAUCUCCAAGUUUCGAUCCUUCUUUUGUUAGACCGGUGCGUCACGUCCGGCAACGAUCGAAGUCUGGUAGUAUCAAGAGAUCUUUCCGCAGCCUUUUGUGUCACCAUUCACCCCAUCUAGUUCUCCUUUGGAGUUCAUAUCCAUUCCUUAUCAAUCCAGUUGAGUGAUUGUUUCCUAGGGUUCAUCAUGUGCCCUCUCCAUUCCCCA
rnacentral:lncRNA from 1 species